UACGUAGGGGGCGAGCGUUGUCCGGAAUCAUUGGGCGUAAAGCGCGUGUAGGCGGCCCGGUAAGUCCGCUGUGAAAGUCCAGGGCUCAACCCUGGGAUGCCGGUGGAUACUGUCGGGCUCGAGUCCGGAAGAGGCGAGUGGAAUUCCUGGUGUAGCGGUGAAAUGCGCAGAUAUCUGGAGGAAUACCGGUGGCGAAGGCGGCAUCCUGGACCGGCAUUGACGCUGAGUGAGCGAAAGCUAGGGGAGCAAACGGG
rnacentral:rRNA from 1 species